UGUUGACAAGUUGUUUAAUGACUACGCUCUGAGGUUUGGCUUCCCACAAAGAAUUCAUCAUGACCAAGGAGGGGAGUUUGAAAACCAGCUGGUUGCUCAGUUGAAGAAGAUUUGUGGAGUUGCUGGAUCAAGGACCACGCCAUAUCACCCCCAGGGAAAUGGGCAAGUUGAACGUUUCAACCGAACGUUACUUCAGAUGCUGAAGACAUUGACUGAACAGCAGAAAACUAAUUGGAAAGGGUCACUCAACAAACUCAUCUUUGCAUACAACAGCACACGAUGUGAAGUGACAGGAUUUUCACCAUUCUAUUUACUGUUCGGACGGUCACCAAGAUUACCCGUUGAUCUAUUGUUCAGUUUGACAUCUGGAACCGGAACUACUGAUUAUAAAGAGUAUGUGAAGAGAUGGAGACAAGAAAUGCAGGAAGCAUUGGAAAUCACCAGACAGACUGCAAAGAAGGUGGCAGAAAGAAACAAGAGGAACUAUGAUGUAAAAGUGAGGGGUUCUAUGUUAUGUCCUGGAGAUCGCGUCUUGGUGAGGAACUUGACACCUAGAGGUGGUACUGGGAAGCUUCGAAACCAUUGGGAAGAUAUUGUACACAUAGUAGUGCGUCAAAUAGGAGGAGAAGGCCCGGUUUUUGAAGUGAAACCAGAACAUGGUAAAGGAAGAUCACGUGUUCUCCACCGCAACCUCUUGAUGCCUUGUGAUUAUCUCCCAUUGGAGACUGAUCUUGGGAAGGAAGAAAAGACAAAGGGACCAGUGCAAAGACCAAAACCAGUAAAUAGAUGUGAACCAGGUCCGGAAGAAGAAGAGGAUGAGGAUGAAGGUUAUCCUUACUAUAACUACGUACCUGCGGUCCAUCAUCAGCAAUCCGGGUGUGAAAACUGGCGAGAUGAAUACGUACCUGAAGUCCAGUUUCAGCAACCUGAGGAAGGAAACGGAGAGUUACGACAUGGAAAUUUACCAGUUAUCCUGCACAGUGAACCUGAAAAGGAAAGGGAAGAAAUUGGUCAAGAGAGAGCAAGGGAUCGUAGAACAGAAGUUGUAAUGGAAAAUGAGGAGAUACCUCAACAAG
ensembl:lncRNA